UCUGCACUACCAUAUACAGUAGAGUCUCACUUAUCCAACAUAAACGGGCCAGCAGAAUGUUGGAUAAGUGAAUAUGUUGGAUAAUAAGGAGAGAUUAAGAAAAAGCCUAUUAAACAUCAAAAUAGGUUAUGAUUUUACGAAUUAAGCACCAAACAUCACGUUAUACAACAAAUUUGACAGAAAAAGUAGUUCAUUACACAUUAAUGCUAUGUAGUAAUUACUGUAAUUACUGUAUUUACAAAAUUAGCACCAAAAUAUCAUGUUAUAUUGAAAACAUUGACUACAAAAAUGUGUUGGAUAAUCCAGAACAUUGGAUAAGCGAGUGUUGGAUAAGUGAGAAUCUACUGUAUUUACAAAAAAGCUCAAAUUUAAGAUAAGACUGUCCAACUCUGAUUAAAUCAUUAUUCUCAUCUUCUUCAAUGUAAAUGCCCUUAUCUCUCCUUUUAAUAAUAGAGUAAAAUAAUACAUGUAAUAAUAAUAAUAAUAAUAAUAAUAAUAAUAAUAAUAAUAAUAAAUCCAUCAAAAUAAUACAAGUAAUAAUAAAUAGAGUAAAAUAAUAAAUGCAAUAAUAAUAUCAGAGUGAAAUAAUAAAUGUAUUAUUAAUAAUAAUAAAAAUAGAGUAAAAUAAAUGUAAUAGUAGCAACAAUAAUAGAUAAAAAUAGUAAAUGUAAUAAUACCAAUAAUAAUAGAGAAAAAUAAUAAAUGUACCAUAUAUAUUUGAGUAUAAGCCGACCUGAAUAUAAGCCAACCAGGACCCUCACCCUAGUAUAAGCCGAGGGGGGCUUUUUCAGUCUUAAAAAAAGGGCUGAAAAACUAGGCUUAUACUCGAGUAUAUACAGUAAUUAUAACUCAUACGAUUCCAUAGCACUGAGAUGCAGCAGUUAAAGUAGUGCCAAACUGUAUUCAUUCUACAGUGUAGAUGCACCCAAUAUCUCCCAGAAGAUCUUCCAAGUGGUUUUGGAGGUAACAGGGUGGUUCAGUUGUUUAAAUACCAAAAUCUUUGCAGGUAGCUGCUUGAAAAGCAUCCUCAACUGU
rnacentral:lncRNA from 1 species